UUCAGUGUUGUCAACUCACUUGUCUUGAGUUAUUUUUACUUGCUUGAAUAUCUUGGGAAUCAGCAGAAUGGAUAGAUAAGUACAAGUUUGCAUCUUUUCACCAGAUCAGAAGGGCUUUGGGCUCCCGCUUCCUUCGAACUGAAAGGACAAACGAUUCCGUUGGAUGGUCUGUACUGCAGCAGACACUGCUGAAACUUUCCGUCACCGAGCCCAGGCAGUUGUCGUUGUUUUACUUGAAAGCUGCCCCUCAGCUAACCGCUUGUGGCACUGGGUCAAGUGAGGAAGCUCAGUCACGACUCACUGCCUCCUACCUGCCAGGCCAGCUCGAAAAACAUCUGUCUCUUCGUCCGACAUCGAGGGGUAUUCGAGACUGAAUUCUGGGCUCUUCGCAUUGCCUGUCCUUAACACCCCUGCUCAGAGCCUGCCCCUCUCUCCGAGCGUAUAACGGAUAUACAACGUAAUUCUUCCAUUUAUGUAAGCUCUCGUCUUGAAGCAUGCGCUUCAAAAGAAAAUCUCUGGUGGGUAUAGGAAUGGUAUAUAUGUGGCCACGACUUCACCCACCACUGAAAUGCAGCCGCCCCCGGGACUGGAUGCUGCAGCUGCCCUGCGGUGCUGAGCCAGACGAGGGCAGAGGGAGAUCGUCCUCCCCAGCUAACAGUGGGGGGGUUUGAGAACGCUGGGAUAUAAUUAAACAAACUGGAAUUAGGCCAGCAUACCAGUGUUAACACAAAGUGUCAAGAACUCUAAUAUUCCAGGGGGUCCCAAUUCACUGCAAUUCUGCCAACUUUACAGCUUAAUAAAUGACACCAACAGCCCGGGAGCAUCGGUACACCACCAGCAUGAGCUACAAGCCAGCAAAACAUUUGCGAGUUGGCCUCAUUAUAAGCAUGUGCUGAAGUCUUAUGGCCUUUAAACAAUGGGGGAAGAGAAGAAUACCUUUUGUCGAUUCACUAUUAUGCUUUAAAAAUGCCUAAAAAUUCUAGUGAAACCUCAGCUCUCUCAGUUGUUUCAGUGACUUAUUAAUUUAAAUAGUUUCUUAUUCUGAUAGACUUUUCCCUUUCCCUUUACCUGUUGCCUCAGGGCUAUUUCUGUGAAAUCACCUGAAUUUCUUGUUGCAUGAACAUAUUCCGAUGCUAGCAGCACUGAAUUACUCUGUCAUACUGAGAAUUAAGGGGUCAUUUUCCAAUGAUGUUGCCUGUAGUCGGUAUCCUUCCCUAUCCCGGUUCGGUCCUCUGAGGGUCGGGCUUUUGAUCUGCAGCUCUGAAGUAGCUGGGGGAGGCAGGGGCAGUGCAGGGGGCAGAGGUGAUUUUAGCUUUGGCUUCCUCUUAUUUCCCUCUCCUUGCUUUUUGGAUACUUUUGCCCACCCUGACCUCUUUGUGCUUUCAGCAGCAUCCCUGCCAUGCCCAGGACGUGAGGGGAUGGCUGAGCUGGCAGGCGCGUUUCCUCGGGCUCUGGAAACGGGUACCACUGCCGCAGGAGCCGGAGACAGGGCAGGAGCCGGAGCACGAACAGGAGCAGGAGCAGGGGCCGGAGCAGGAGGGUUCUCACCUCCCGGAGGACUCCACAAAGUUCAUUGCAUUGUUAAAGCUCCAUUUGUCAAAGAUGGGAGGAGGGAAAAAGAUCCAAAGUCCUGAUGUCAUAGCAGUCUCUGCUUCCAUCAGAAGACCUUCUCCAGACUGCCUGAAAAAAUGCUCCUGCAGUUUGAGGUGCCGGGGAUCUAGGUGUCUGACAGAUGGGGAGUGAGCUAUUCUUAUGCAGAUGUCAGAGUAUAUUUUUUCAGCAAACCUGAUCACGGACUCUGCCCAAGCCACCAGAAUUCUUCUGAGGACCCCUUGCCACCAGCUAACCUUAGCCAUCAUUGAGGCUCUUCAAAGACAAGAUCACCUUGUUUAUCAAAACUAUCCGCAUGCCUGCGUGUGAAAGUUGAGGGUGCGUGGCUUGCGUUUUCUCCAUUCUUCGAGAGACAUCAGUCAUGUUGCCUUUGACUGUUCUGGAAACACAAAGGGACGUUUUGGAGUCUGCAAACGUCACUUCUGUCCUCUUUAAGGCCCCUUCUUGCAGUCGAGCUGAUCCAGGUUGCCUCAGUGUAAAUGAGCCAUCAGGCUGUGGCUCCUGGGGGGCGAUGUGGAGGGGUGAGCUCGUGUCCCCUGGGGAUGGCGACUGGCCGAGCCUCUGCUCCUCCCCAGGCAUCGCUUCUGCAGAUGCUCCAGAUUAUAAGCAAAUGUGUCAAAACCCUUUGAGUGAUUUUCCUGCCUAUUCUGCAGACUAACUCCGAAAAACAUUUAUGUUCAAGUCUCCACUGGCAUUUCCUGAUGAAACGGCUGCUGCACUCUGUUAUCCGAUGGUACCUCGGCAGGUCCCAAGACGCACCAGGCAGAGCAACCUCGUCUGGCUCAGGGGGGUUUGGGGCAGAGCAACCUUUUCGUCCCGUGACUCUUAAUGCCAGUACAAUACGAAGAUGAAUUAAAAGACAAAUUACUGUGGCACAAUGAAUCCUAGAAUCAUUUAUGUUGGAAAAGACCUUUAAGAUUGAGCCCAACCAGAAAAUCCCUGCUAGUUCAGUUAUCCUAAGAGCAAUUUCCUUUUCCUUGCUUCCUUCAGACUUCCUCUGUCACAGACAAGAAAUCAAAUUUACCAGGUGAAAAUGACUCUUGCCAUGUCUGGAAGAAGGCCAAAGUGAUUUCAAGAGAUCAGUAUGGCCCAAUAACUAUAUACUUCUUUAUUCAUUGCUAGUUCAGAUCUAUGUAUUUUUCUGCUAGUGUGCUCUUUGUGUCUAUGUAAACAUUCAGUUUGCAUUUUACUAUAUGUCAGUAUCAAGCUAUUUUAUCUAGGAAGUGAUGAAUCUUCUCAUCCUCUUGGAAAAAUGAAAAGUGAAAUAGACUUUUAAAUAGUGUAAAAAAUUAUCCACAUUGUUUGCAUCUCAUCAGUUCCAUCAAUUAUAUAUAGCAUAGGAUUUUCAAGAAUACAUUUAUAAUAUGUAAAAAACCACUAACAUAACUAAAUUCUUGCUAAAUGGGGUAUGCGGAACACUUAUUCCUGUGUUUCUCUUUCUGCAUCAGGUUGAACUCUGCCUAUAACAGCAUCUGUAUUGUAACAGCUGGAGUGUGGGAGGUACAUUGCAGAGCACCAUGAAAAAUAUGCAACUCUUGGACCACGCUUCCUCCAAGACAGAGGAAUGCCUCAAAGCCCUGUGCUGGGACCUGGAGGACUUCUAGUCUGGCUCUGCAAUUCUUCAGGCCCUAAACCUGGUUUUUAUUUACAUAUGCUUCCCAGCAAUAACUUUAACUUCCAGGUCUUGUGAAAAGAAAUGAGGAAAUAACCGCACAGGACUGGAGAGAGACCCUGGCAGAUGCGUCCCCUUCUGGGGAGGACAGAGACCCAUUAGAGCCACUCUCGAGGGGCACCCAGAGAAGCCUUCCCCUGCUUCCUUCUCACCUUUGGAAACAUAGGAAUAGGAACCAGUCCACAAGGAAGCUAGCUCGGUGUUGCCAAAGCCCCUCCUUAACAUCAUUUCACCCAAGAUAGUCUUGGUUAUUUGCCCCUUAUCUCAAGUCUCACAUCCUACUAGGAGCCAUUUGGGAAGAGAUUUCCCCAGGGGCUAUUAACUCUGACUGUGAUUCCCUAUUGUGUUUGCUAAUUCUUCUCUUGCCUUAAAUUGAUCUGAUACAGAUAUUACAGAGAUAAUGAGUAUAGGGUAGAGCCUACUCUGCUGCAUCUCCAGUGACUGCAAGUCUUCCAUCGUCCUAAUGGGGCACAUGCUCUACCCGUACAUCAGCUAUUGUAUGUAUACUAGUUUUUCUCCGUUAAAAGUGAUCUUGUAUGCUACCUAUUCAUUGUAAAGAAUGAUUACAGAAGGGAUUGCCUCUGAAUAAUGCAAGCACUCUGGAGUCUUUGAAAAUGCAAAACUGUUGAUAAAUCUAUUGUAGCUGAAACAAAAUUGAAACAAGCUUAAAAAUAUUACUCUGGUCUCUUACCCAAGGUGAGUAAAUAAUUUCUUAGUGGAGGCCAGCUCAUGACAUAACUGUACUUCCACUGAAUGUCUGAGUUAACUUACACAAUGGCUACUGUAUGUGACUAAUGGGUCAAGGUGCUGUGGAGCGACAGAAGAGAGCGUGCAGGCUCCGGUCCUGGGCUGGAGGGGGGUGCUGGCUGCCAGCAGGCAUUGGGGGGCAACACGGUGGCUGCUGCUGCAGAUGCUUGGCAGCACUGCCUGACCAUCACUGUGGUCUGCUGGGGGCUGAUGGGUCCCAUCUGUCAGAGAAGGGGAAGAGCAUCUUUGGUCACAGGCUCGCAAAGCUGGUCAAGAGGCUUUAAACUAAAGUUGCUGUGGCAGGGGAACCUCAAUCCAUCCCACUCCUACCAGUUUGAUGCCAGCGCCAGCAAUAGGUGCCCAGAGCCUGAAAAGGGUCACAGGUCAGCAGAACACCUGAAGUGUGGGACAAAGGAAUUCCAGCUGGUAAGUCAGCUUCAUCGGGGUUCCAACUGAAAUGCCUCUGUGCAAACGCACGUAACGUGGGGAACAAACAAGAGGAGACAUAUGCAUGCCUGCAGGGCUAUGAUCUCAUUGGCAUCAUGGAGAUGCGGCGAGAUGGAAGGGUACAGGCUCUUUAGGAAGGACAGGCAGGGGAGACAAGGAAGAGGUGUUGCCUCUAUGCCAAUGACCAUCUGGAGGGCACAGAGCUCUGCCUGGGGAUGGGUGAGGAGCUGACUGAGAACUUACGUGUCAGGAUUAAAGGGAGCACAGGGACAGGGGACACUAUAGUGGGGGUCUGCUACAGGCCAUCCGAUCAGGGAGAAUGAGUGGAUGAGGCCAUCUAUAGACAGACAGGACCAGCCUCAUGUUCACAAGCCCUGGCCCUCGUGGGGGACUUCAGCCACCCUGAUAUCUGUUGGAGGGACAACACAGCAGGGCACAAGCAAUCCAGGAGGUUCCUGGAAUGCAUUGAUGAUAACUUCCUUCUCCAAGUGAUAGAGGAGCCAAGGAAGAGAGGUGUUGUGCUGGACCUCGUUCUCACCAUCAAGGAGGGGCUGGUAGGGGAUGUGAAGCUCACGGGCAGCCUUUGCUGCAGUGACCAUGAAAUGGUAGAGUUCAAGAUCCUCAGGGCAGUGAGGAGGGCACACAGCAAGCUCACUGCCCUGGACUUCAGGAGAGCAGAUUUUGGCCUCUUCAGGGACCUGCUUGGUAGAUACCAUGGGACAAAGUGCUGGAGGGAAGAGGGGCCCAAGACAGCUGGCUAGUAUUCAAGGGUCACCUCCUCUAAGCUCAGGAGUGAUGCAGCCCAACAAAGGCCUGCAUGGAUGAACAAAGAGCUCCUGGGCAAACUCAAACCCAAAAAGGAAGCCUACAGAGGCUGGAAGCAAGGGCAGAUAGCCUCAGAAGAAUACAGAGAAACUGUCCAAGCAGUCAGGGAUCAGGUUAGGAAGGCUAAAGCCCUGAUAGAAUUAAAUCUGGCCAGGGACAGCAAGGGCAACAAGAAAAGCUUCUAUGGGUAUGUCAGUGAUAAAAGUAAAAAUAGGGAAAAUGUGGCCUCCUCUGGAAGGAAACAGGAGAUCUCAUUACCCAGGAUAUGGAGAGGGCUGAGGUACUCUGUGAUUAUUUUUUUUUUUUGUUUGGUUUGUUUUGUUGUUGUUUUUGCCUCAGUCUUCACUGGCAAGUGCUCCAGCCACAGCAGCCGAGCCUCAGAAGGCAAAGGCAGGGACUGGGAGAAUGAACCACCUGCUAUAGGAGAAUAUUUGUAUCUGUUUUAUUGAUGAGAAAUGUACAGGCAAAACAGCUAUUAGCAACAUUUAAAUUGUCAUAAUUGCAUUGCGAAGUAAACAGGCUUUUCUGAUUAAUAGAAGUGGUUUGUUUCUCUGGGAAUUAUUAUUUUAGGCUCUGCAGGCUUUGUCAGUCUGCAGUACUGGAUAUACUAGGCUUCAUUUGGAAGGUUUCUGAGAGCAGCUUAAGAAAAAAAAAAGGUUUGUUUUCAUUUUAAAAGAUGUAUCUUAUUUCUGGGAAGACCAUGUGGCUGGAAGAACAGGCCGCAAAGUAAAAUGCAAACCCUCUGAAUGUGAGCAAUUCCACAACAAUUUUCUGUACCUUUCAAUUUAUAGAGCUUAUUUAAUGCUAGC